rnacentral:rRNA from 1 species
CCUACGGGGCGCAGCAGUGGGGAAUAUUGCACAAUGGGGGAAACCCUGAUGCAGCAACGCCGCGUGAGUGAUGACGGCCUUCGGGUUGUAAAGCUCUGUCUUCAGGGACGAUAAUGACGGUACCUGAGAAGGAAGCCACGGCUAACUACGUGCCAGCAGCCGCGGUAAUACGUAGGUGGCGAGCGUUGUCCGGAUUUACUGGGCGUAAAGGGAGCGUAGGCGGACUUUUAAGUGAGAUGUGAAAUACCCGGGCUCAACUUGGAUGCUGCAUUUCAAACUGGAAGUCUAGAGUGCAGGAGGGGAGAAUGGAAUUCCUAGUGUAGCGGUGAAAUGCGUAGAGAUUAGGAAGAACACCAGUGGCGAAGGCGAUUCUCUGGACUGUAACUGACGCUGAGGCUCGAAAGCGUGGGGAGCAAACAGGAUUAGAUACCCGAGUAGUC